AGCAUGGAAUUUUUUCCACACUAUAAAAUCAUUAAACAAUUCCUUUUUCUAGAUUCAUAAAAGAAAAAAUAUGGCUAAAGUGUAUAUGUUUAUUUAUGCUAUGAUUAUCUUUUAUUCCAUGUUUAUUUCUACAACAAUAUCUAAGCCUUGCCACAAUGAUGAGGAAUGCUCGGAUCUUAUAUGCAUCGGUCCUGUAGCCUCACCAGGGUGCAUCAUUGAUCCAAUAUCGGUAUUCUUAUUUGAGUUAUCUGGCAUAUCGAUCGGUGGGAGUUGCGGAUGUAUUGAGUAUUAUCACACACAUUAAAUGAAGUAUUAGAGUUUGCCUAUGUUUUAAGGGCCAAUUUGGGACAACAUUAGUAGCUUGUGAAUGUGUGAUGAAACCCUAAAAGUUAAUUAAAAAUAAUAUUAUCAUCUUAUUCCUACCCAUAUGAUAAUGUUGGUGCUUUUAUGAUUAUAUCUCUAGUUAAUAAGUUUAAAAUAAUAAGUUUGUAUUUUAACUUGUACAUUUUGUAUUAAUUGUAUAAUUUUUUUAUAAAUUAUUUUUAUUUUUCGAUAAAGAAUUACUAAUUUUCAUUC